rnacentral:rRNA from 1 species
GACAGAGGAUGCAAGCGUUAUCCGGAAUGAUUGGGCGUAAAGCGGGUGUAGGUGGUCUGAUAAGUCAGAUGUGAAAGCCCAGGGCUUAACCCUGGAAGUGCAUAUGAUACUGUCAGGCUUGAGUGUGGGAGAGGAUAGCAGAAUUCCUGGUGUAGAGGUGAAAUUCGUAGAUAUCAGGAGGAACACCGGUGGCGAAAAGCGGCUCACUGGCCCCGAUACUGAACGCUCAUGGUUCGAAAGCGUGGGGAGCCAAACAGG